CUUUAUUUCCUUGUAGGUCUGUUUGUAACACAUGCCAAGUUUAGACAAAGACUUUGGAGUUUUGGGUGCAAGUGGCUAGACUUGUCUCCUGGCCAGCUCUGUCAUUAGUCAAGCAAGCAGACAAUGUGGAGGUGAAAGGAAAAUGGGGUGCAGUGAAAACCAAAUGAGGCUCUGCAGCAGAAGCAGCUCUAGGUGGCUGGGCAUGGUGGCU
rnacentral:lncRNA from 1 species